AGAGUUUGAUCCUGGCUCAGAUUGAACGCUGGCGGCAGGCUUAACACAUGCAAGUCGAACGGUAGCAGGAAGAAAGCUUGCUUUCUUUGCUGACGAGUGGCGGACGGGUGAGUAAUGCUUGGGAAUCUGGCUUAUGGAGGGGGAUAACUGUGGGAAACUGCAGCUAAUACCGCGUAUUCUCUGAGGAGGAAAGGGUGGGACCUUAGGGCCACCUGCCAUAAGAUGAGCCCAAGUGGGAUUAGGUAGUUGGUGGGGUAAAGGCCUACCAAGCCUGCGAUCUCUAGCUGGUCUGAGAGGAUGACCAGCCACACUGGAACUGAGACACGGUCCAGACUCCUACGGGAGGCAGCAGUGGGGAAUAUUGCGCAAUGGGGGGAACCCUGACGCAGCCAUGCCGCGUGAAUGAAGAAGGCCUUCGGGUUGUAAAGUUCUUUCGGUAAUGAGGAAGGGAUGUUGUUAAAUAGAUAGCAUCAUUGACGUUAAUUACAGAAGAAGCACCGGCUAACUCCGUGCCAGCAGCCGCGGUAAUACGGAGGGUGCGAGCGUUAAUCGGAAUAACUGGGCGUAAAGGGCACGCAGGCGGACUUUUAAGUGAGAUGUGAAAUCCCCGAGCUUAACUUGGGAACUGCAUUUCAGACUGGGAGUCUAGAGUACUUUAGGGAGGGGUAGAAUUCCACGUGUAGCGGUGAAAUGCGUAGAGAUGUGGAGGAAUACCGAAGGCGAAGGCAGCCCCUUGGGAAUGUACUGACGCUCAUGUGCGAAAGCGUGGGGAGCAAACAGGAUUAGAUACCCUGGUAGUCCACGCUGUAAACGCUGUCGAUUUGGGGAUUGGGCUAUAUGCUUGGUGCCCGAAGCUAACGUGAUAAAUCGACCGCCUGGGGAGUACGGCCGCAAGGUUAAAACUCAAAGGAAUUGACGG
rnacentral:rRNA from 1 species